rnacentral:siRNA from 1 species
AGUCAAACUGUGUAUACACAGGUAC